rnacentral:lncRNA from 1 species
AUGGUAAUAGAUUUCAAAGAUUUUAAUUUUUUAGGUUUGAGUUCACCUUGUGCAACUAUUUCCUGUGAACAUAAGAGUGUAACUAUUUCCUAUGAACAUAAGAAGGUAGCCUGCUUUCCUUCUCUGGUUUGUGCACCAUCAACCAGCUCCUUUCCUUCCUCAGGUGUUUCUCUGUACAGGAAGAUGCCCUGGCAAGGCUUCCAGCACUCUCCCAUAGGCUCAGUUGAAGGUCUUCAGGCAGAUGUGCAUCUCUCAACCUUUGUGCUCUCCAUGGGCACGCAGCAAUGCCUUGGGGGAGCUCUGCCUUCUGCUGCACCACCACUCUCAGCUGCUGACACGGAUGACCACCAGGCUCCAGCUCCCAGGAUGCCUGCCUUUGUCUCCAGCACUUUGGAAGCUGCUCUGAAGCCAAGAAGCCAGAUUUCUCCAGGACUGAUUCCUAACCAGUGCUUGAUCUGGAAAACCAGUGCCAGCUCCAGCUCUAGUAAAGUGUGUGUGUAUUUUGCUAUGGGUCUCCUGUGAAGAGGUGGGAAGGCUUUUGCCAAAUUUUAUGAGUUUGUAGAGAUAAGAGAGCUGUGCUCUGCACACCAGAUCUGCCCACCCACGCAGAUCCCUGUGGAGAAGGGUGAGGAGGAGGAAUGAUUAUCACAGAGUUGUCAGACUCACACAAGAAAACUUGGGAGGAAGGAAGGGAAGAAAAAGGUUGGGAGAGGUGGUAUGGCUAGAUGCCUUGUGGGAAGCACAUCCCACAGCUGAACAGAAAUAGGGAAAAUAAUCUGGAGAAUCCCAAACCACAGUACAAGCUAUGAGAAACACAGAAACUCCUCCCUGUCACUUUCUCAUGGAGUUGGCUUCAGGGUUGCAGAGAAUCUCGGGAUGAUAAAGAAGAGGCUGAAAAGCAUUAGAAAAGGAAAUAGUCUCUAGAGCUGACUGUGAACUGAUGUUUCUAUUCCAUGAAAAUGACAAUAUUGCAAAAUACACUUCAGUUCUAAUUUGAAAUGAAAAUUCAAAAUAUCAAAGCCAUUUUCACAAGGAAGAAGACUGAUCCAGAUUUAUCAAGAUAGUUCUUAAAGAAUAGUAAAAUUUUGAUAAUGUAAUACUUGGCUUUUUAUUUUUAACAGUGUUAAAGCAUUGAAAAAUAAUCAAAAUAUUAUUUAAA